CCUACGGGGAGCAGCAGUGGGGAAUAUUGCACAAUGGGGGAAACCCUGAUGCAGCGACGCCGCGUGAGUGAAGAAGUAAUUCGUUAUGUAACGCUCUAUCAGCAGGGAAGAAAAUGACGGUACCUGAGUAAGAAGCCCCGGCUAACUACGUGCCAGCAGCCGCGGUAAUACGUAGGGGGCAAGCGUUAUCCGGAUUUACUGGGUGUAAAGGGAGCGUAGACGGCAGUGCAAGUCUGGAGUGAAAGGCGGGGGCUCAACCCCCGGACUGCUCUGGAAACUGUCCGGCUUGAGUGCAGGAGAGGUAAGUGGAAUUGCUAGUGUAGCGGUGAAAUGCGUAGAUAUUAGGAGGAACACCAGUGGCGAAGGCGGCUUACUGGACUGUAACUGACGUUGAGGCUCGAAAGCGUGGGGAGCAAACAGGAUUAGAUACCCUGGUAGUC
rnacentral:rRNA from 1 species